rnacentral:rRNA from 1 species
UUUUUUAAUUGAAAACUCGUAUGAAUGGUUGAACGAAAUAUUUUCUGUUUCAUAAAAAUUUAUAUAGAAAUUAAUUUUUUAGUCAAAAAGCUGAAAUAUAAUUAAAAGACGAGAAGACCCUAUAGAGUUUUAUAUAAAUUAAAUUAUAAUUUAUUUAUAAUAAUUAAAAUUUUAUUUUAAUUUAUAUUUUGUUGGGGUGACAAUAAAAUUUCAUAACCUUUUAUUAUUUUUUAACAAUGAUUUUUGAAUAUUUGAUCCAUUCUUAGUGAUUAAAAGAUUAAAUUACCUUAGGGAUAACAGCGUAAUUUUUUUGUAGAGUUCUUAUCGAUAAAAAAUUUUGC